GUUAUUUUUGUUUAGAGUAAAAUGCGAUUUUUGUCGCUGAGGUUUGGCCAGUUUUGCGACUUUUGUCCAAAGGUUUGUUUUUCCGCAUCUAGAUCCAAAAGUUUUGAUGAAUAGUAGGACCCGAUGUUAACAUGUGUGUGUAGGCAAUUGAUGAAUAUUGAAUGUAUAUGUUACAAAUAAAGAUAUGUAUGUUGUGUUGAUGUAGAUUGGAGCUCAUCAAUUCAAGGUUAGCAAUGGGGAUUGCAUAUUCACAGAAAAGUUAAAGUUCUAUGAAGUGAAUGAUAAGGCCUUAGAUGCAAAAUUAAUUAUCUUUAAGAAAAAGAGAAGAAAGAAUUAUUGAUGAAUAAAAUGUCAUAGACAGAGGUGAGUUUACUCACCAUGUUAAAUCCGUGUCAAUGUCUAAUUUUACUUCACAAGAAGUUGAAGCCCUUAAAGAAGGCAGUAAUCAGCAUGCAAUGGAAACAUUUAUAAGAGAUUGGGACCCACGAGAACAUAGACUUCUACAUAACAGCAAUGUGGAGAAAGUUUGAGAUUUUAUAAAGAGUGUCUACGUGGAUAAGAAGUUUUUCACUUCAAAGGCGUCCGGAAAACCUCCUAGAGAUGCAAUGGAUGGUUCGGUUCUAUAUUGGAUGUGAUGGAAGUUGUUUUGAAGGCAUUUGCACCAAGGAGGUACUAUGAAAUCGACCUCCAUUAACGGCGUGAAGAUGUAUACAGUUGCAGGAUAACAUCGCUCGCUGGCCACUUGGCUACCGCCGAAGAAGCUUAGAGCUCUUCGCAAAGACAAAAAUUACACGGAAAGGGUGGAUUUGAUCCAAGAUUUAAGAUUUGUCAACGUUCUAAAGCCAUUGGUACAUAAUUGCACGCCAAUUACUCGACAAAAUGUCUCAAUGAAGUGCUGCCAUAAAAAUUGAAGUCAUAACGAUGUCCAGCAGAGUUCCAGCAAUAAGCAACUAACACACUUCUACUACAAAUUGCACCAA